ACAAACCACUGUAGCCCACCAGGGCAUCGAGAUUGUCCUCAGCAGGGAGGCGAAGCUUUCCCCCAUGCCUCUGGAGCCUACCAGGUUUGCUCCAUGAAUGGACUGAGAUGAAAUGCCAUUAGGAAAAAUACUUGAGACCACCUAGAUUUGCUGCCUCCUUUGUCUUUGCACAAGAGUGGAAGGCAACAUGUGGACUUUGAACACUUUUGGAGCAACAGGACUGACGUGCCAGUACUCGGCGUGCUUUCCAAAUGAACUCUCCUACCCCCUUCAAUUCUGAGGAAAGCAUACCAUUUCAUACAUAGAACUUGUGCUGUUAAUUCUGGCUGAAUUGUGUUUGAACUCCUUGAGGAGCAAGGAACUCCUGCCUGCUGUGGCUCCAGCUGCUCACUGGGUGACCUCCCCGCCUCACCUUUCAAGAGGGGAAUCCAGAUUUUGCCAGAAGAAAACUGGAAUAUCUUGUGAGGGUCUCCACCCUCACUUGUAUCCUUGUGAUAUACUUGUUGGCCUAUUGCCUUUUGAAAGUGUCCCACCAGGCUCUCCUGAUACUCUGAUAUACUUUUUUGGGGGACUACUGGUGAGCAAGAGAACUAUUUAUAUGUGGUAAUUUUAUGAAUAUUUAUGAAAAAUACAAUGUGCAUGCUAACUUAUCAUCAUUACUAGGUUUUUUCUUUUUUUGAAACGUGCCAAAAAUCCCAAAGAGGCCUUCCUGGUGAUAUUUUCUUCUGUCACCAUAGGUCUUUGUGGUAGCAUAAAGGAUGAUUGCAAACCUGAUUCAGAAUAUAUCUCAAAAGGUUUUUAGUUGAGGGAAAAGUAAACAUUUCAGGAAUGAACGACUGAGAUACCAAUAAGCUCAGAAAAUAAGGAAGAGCCCAUUUAUUAGCUCCCAAGUUUUUGUUGUUUUAGAAUAGUACUCCAAUUUUUUUGUUUGUCUUUGGACAACUUGAGAUCCUCUUUGCUGCAAUUAUUACAAAAAAUAAAUUAUUCCAAACUGGUCCGUCUUUUAGAAACAGCAUGGUAUAGUAGUGGAAUUAGGCAUCAACAUGUGGGUUCUAGUUCCAGCCUUGCCAUUGUGUGACUGUAUGAGUCACUUAGCUUCUAUGCCUCAGUUUCCUAAUUUAAGGAAUGAAUGAAGGGGGUUGACCAGGUCAGAGGUGUCAAACAGGUGGUCAAGAGCUGCCAGAAUCAGAUUAAAGUGUAAUUGGGAAAUAAUUAACAAAAUAAAAAUACACUAGGACAUACAUAGUGUUAAUAUGGUUUUCUAAGUCAGUGUGGCACCAGCAUGGAUCCUUAUGUAUGGUGUAUGGGGCCCCAUUUCUUUUUGGGGUUGGCAUCACUGGUCUAGAUCCCUAAAGUCUUUAAGUUCUGUUGUUCUGGUAGUGUCAGCAAAUCUUUGAUUUCCUUUAGGUUAGAAACAAUGACUUGGUUUUAGUUUAGUGGGACUUAAUGUGAGAUUUUUAUCAUGAUCUGUGUAUCUGUUAUGGUGUCAAAAUCACCUUUUAUGUUUUCCUCUCCCUUUGGUACAUGAAAUAUGUUCUUCUUUGGUUUGGGAGAGUAUAUUAUAUGCUGGAUGUUUGACGUUCAUUUCACUUAAUUAUCUGGCUUUAACAUUUUCCUUCUGAAGACUUUUCUGCAAGAAAUGUUAUUUUUAGUCUUGUACAUGUUGAGAACCACUCUUUCAAAUACACAACAUGGACAAACUCAGUGCUCUUUUAUGAGCAUAUAGCAAACAAUGACUGUGGCUAUUUUUGCAUAAAAAAUUUAAAUUCAAAAUUUUUACUCUUAGAAGAUUUUACAACGUUACAAUACGAUCCUCAGUUUCUCUUUUUGCGUAAGUGGUAAUGAGAAUGCUUCCAUAAACAUCUACAACUGGGUCUUUCAGUUUCUCAGUGAACUGGUGUUGGCUGUGACUGAAAUCAACAGAUGUUCCAUCCUAGAAUUAAUAAUAAACAUCUUUGGAUAUGAAAUGGCCUUUUCAUCCCUGAGACUUGUUUGAAAUGCAAAAAAAGAUAAGUUUGUAUCACAAGAAGGUGAGACCUUCUUGGUCAAUUGUCUCAAUCUCUGUUCCAAUUAUUACACCUACUCCCUUAAUAACUAGCAUUUGUUACUGUAAUGUUUAAACAACUGAGAAAUUGUUUUCAAAUUUGAUUUUGUGAUGUUUGUUAACCUGGUUUAAUUCAUUUAUAUGCUCAUCUAUGCAUCAGGCAGUUUUUCUACUUGGCUUGGUUGUUCUUUGUUGUUACAAAAUGAAAUGAGAUGAUAAAUGAAUGCAUUAAUUGAACCUUUUAUCACUAAGGAGAAAAGAGACUGAACAGGUAUAAAAAGAAGACUUUUUUUCUCAGCUGUAGAGAAAUGAGGAUUGGCAGGUUGGUUUAUUUUUUAAGCAAGAUUUUGCCUUAAUAUCUUGUGCAACGAAUCUUAGUACUGUGAUGGUUGAGGAUUCAGCAGUACGCUUGACAUAAACUGGAGGUAGUCUACCAAUUUGUAUUCCCAGUCCAUACAGAAACAGCUUUUUAUAUGUAUAAGAUACAUGUAUAUAUUGUGUGUAUAUGUAUAUAUGCACAGAUACAUGUAGAUUCUUUUUUCAGUAAAUAUCAUUAUAAUCAAUUUUUAUAAAGUGAGCAUUUCUGUGUCCAUCCUGACUGAUGGCCCAUAAAACAAAUCUUUGCUGAUAGCAAUUUCCAUUGGACAAGAAAUCCCAUGUGACACAUCACUUGUCCAAGUUGCCAAAAUUAUUCGACAGGGAUGUGCAUUCUGAUAUUUAUGUGUAUUGAUUAUCAAUGUUCUGUACAUUGUUAAAUACUCAAUAAAAUUUGAUGUGUUUUUCAAAA